ACGUUGCAUGAGCAACGGCCCGAAGGGCGAGACGAAGUCGAGUCAUCCUGCACGACCCACCA
rnacentral:sRNA from 1 species